GCGUUGUCCGGAAUCACUGGGCGUAAAGGGCGCGUAGGCGGCCUGAUAAGUAGGGGGUGAAAUCUUGCGGCUCAACCGCAAGGCUGCCUUCUAAACUGUCAGGCUGGAGCACGGUAGAGGCAGAUGGAAUUCCCGGUGUAGCGGUGGAAUGCGUAGAGAUCGGGAAGAACACCAGUGGCGAAGGCGGUCUGCUGGGCCGUUGCUGACGCUGAGGCGCGACAGCGUG
rnacentral:rRNA from 1 species